rnacentral:rRNA from 1 species
AAUGAACGUUGGCGGCAUGGAUUAAGCAUGCAAGUCGAGCGAGAAGUGUAGCAAUACACGGAAAGCGGCGGAAGGGAGAGUAAUACGUGGGAAUCUGCCCUUAGACCUGGGAUAGCAGCGGGAAACUGCUGGUAAUACCAGAUAAUGUCUAUGGACCAAAGGUGUGAUUCCGUCUAGGGAUGAGCCCACGUCCUAUUAGCUAGUUGGUAGGGUAAUGGCCUACCAAGGCGAUGAUGGGUAGCGGGUGUGAGAGCAUGACCCGCCUCACUGGGACUGAGACACUGCCCAGACACUUACGGGUGGCUGCAGUCGAGAAUCUUCGGCAAUGGGCGCAAGCCUGACCGAGCGAUGCCGCGUGCGGGAUGAAGGCCUUCGGGUUGUAAACCGCUGUCGAGGGGGAGCAACUUCCAUAGAGUUAUCUUUAUGGAUUGAGUGAUCCCUGGAGGAAGGACGGGCUAAGUUCGUGCCAGCCGCCGCGGUAAAAC